AGUGAACGCUGGCGGUAGGCCUAACACAUGCAAGUCGAACGGCAGCCCAGUAAGAGCUUGCUCUUACGGGUGGCGAGUGGCGGACGGGUGAGGAAUACAUCGGAAUCUACUUUUUCGUGGGGGAUAACGUAGGGAAACUUACGCUAAUACCGCAUACGACCUACGGGUGAAAGCAGGGGAUCUUCGGACCUUGCGCGAUUGAAUGAGCCGAUGUCGGAUUAGCUAGUUGGCGGGGUAAAGGCCCACCAAGGCGACGAUCCGUAGCUGGUCUGAGAGGAUGAUCAGCCACACUGGAACUGAGACACGGUCCAGACUCCUACGGGAGGCAGCAGUGGGGAAUAUUUGACAAUGGGCGCAAGCCUGAUCCAGCCAUACCGCGUGGGUGAAGAAGGCCUUCGGGUUGUAAAGCCCUUUUGUUGGGAAAGAAAAGCAGCAGGUUAAUACCCCGCUGUUCUGACGGUACCCAAAGAAUAAGCACCGGCUAACUUCGUG
rnacentral:rRNA from 1 species